UGAGACAACUGUCAUGCAGCUACUUCUGUCUAGCUCAGAAUGCUAGAGUGUGAAGAAAGCCGAUGACCGAAAGAUUUUGACUGCAGAAAUGAACUGGCUGAAAGGAAUGCUGAAAGUUUCAAGGCUGCAGAAAAUAAAUAAAAUGAAGAGAUAAGAAAACAGGCAAGACAUAAUGCUGUUAUAGGAGAUUCAAGAAAGAGGGACACAUGUCAAGAGUGGACCCCUAAGGGGAUACCCUAAAUAGCGAUGCAUGCCAGAGUGCAAGGAACUAGAAAUAGAGGAAGACUGAAGAUGUGUUGGGUAAA